GCGGACGCAGUGCGGAGCAGAGAUGAGUGGAAAGGGUAGAGCGUGUAUCGCGCGCCGCUCGGACGGCCGCCGCUGCAGGGCCAACAGACGAAGCCGCGGCGGCCGCAAGGGCAGCGCGCCGCGCGCUCACCGCCCCGCCUGGUCGCGCCCGUCGCUGCGCUCGCCCCUCUGCCGCAACGCCCUCGCCGCUGGCCCGUGGCAUGGCUCGGAGUUAAACCGUCGCCCGCCGGGAGCAGCCAGGCGCCCGCCCGUUGCUGCUGCCGCUGUGCUGCUGCUGUAAGAAGCCUGGGAGUCCGGCGUCGCCCUGGAACCGCGGAGCAGCGUUGUCGCAGAGUGCAUACGCCAAGCGUGUCGGGCCAUGGGACCUCUGGCAACAUUGCUGAAGGGACUUGAGUUUUGCUGAUUGAGCGUCAUCGCUGCUGGCUACCCACGCACAACGCUGCAGUGCCCUGGACGGCGAGGUGCACAGGACGGCGCGAUGCGUGCUGCCGCCCUGUGGGCGGCGGCGGCGGCUGCGCUCGUCAGCCUGCUGUCGUCUGCCCUGCUUUUGCAGACGACACUGCUCCUACCAGCCGCUACCCAGGCAUCGGCGAAUUUCGUG
rnacentral:lncRNA from 1 species